rnacentral:lncRNA from 1 species
ACCUCGAUACGAGUCUGGAUCGUUAAGAGCUCCCUUAUUCUUAUAAAUGGAAUUAAUUAUUCCCAUUGACCAGAUUUCGGGUAUAAUCCCUGUGUCGAAUACAAAAUUGAACAAUUUUACAUAAAGAGGUAAACAUACAGACAUGGAAUUUUUAAUAAACUCGUUUCUUAUUCCAUCAUAUCCAGCGGCUUUGUUAUUUUUUAAUUUUUUAAUGACUUUGAUAAUUUCUUCCUCGGUAAUAGGCCCAUUUAAAAUUUCGUCGAACUCAUUUAACUCUAGGUUAGGUAAUUUAAACUCUUCCUCCUCAUUUGCCACACUUUCGUUAAGCUUCUUAAAAUGUGCAUACAUUACUUCUAGUGAAAUUGGACUUUCCUUUUUUUGUUUCGGAGAGAAUUUAUUUAAAACUUUCCAAAAUUCUUUUGGGUUAUUUGUUG